rnacentral:tRNA from 1 species
UCCCAGGUGGCUCAGAUGGUAAAGAAUCUGCCUGCAAUGCAGGAGACCCAGGCUCCAUCCCUGGGUUGGGAA